rnacentral:rRNA from 1 species
ACGCUCGACACCUAGGAGGCAGCAGUGGGGAAUAUUGCACAAUGGGGGAAACCCUGAUGCAGCAACGCCGCGUGAAGGAAGACGGUUUUCGGAUUGUAAACUUCUGUUCUUAGUGAAGAUAGUGACGGUAGCUAAGGAGCAAGCCACGGCUAACUACGUGCCGCAGCCGCGGUAAUACUGAGCGGGCGUGCGAAGGC